CUUGUGUGUUUUCCGCCUACAAGAGAAUGGUGUGGCAUUCGGGCUUUCCACUCUCUUUUUCCUUGACUUCUCCAGCAACUUGGUAUCCUUACUAAAGUGUGUGUUAUGUAAUUGGAGGUCAAUUGUCCAGCCACUAAUGGUUGCCAGAGUUUGUAACUUUGUUUUACUAAUCACUGUGUACACUCUGUUGAGAAUUAGCAGAAAUAGCUAGCUUUAUUAGUAUUGAAGCUGAGCCUCCACAGUCAUUAGGGAACUUGGCAAAUCCAUGCUCAAAAAAAAAAUGCCUGAUCCUCACCUUCACUUCUACUGCAUGCACGGGCACAUGUGCACACACACACACACACACACACUCUUCUGCAACAGUGGAGACCAACAAGAGUUAUCAUAUCAUUGAAAGAGCCCCUCAGAGACGAGAAGUGAUAAGAAGGAAUAAUUGCUCUACAGUUUCUAACAAAUGACUCUUAAGAGAUGAGCUGUGCUCUAAGCCAAUGAGUGGUUCCAUGUUCUUUGUGCCAUGACUCAUAUUCCAAACCUAUAUUCUUCCUGUUUGGCCACAGGAAAGCCACCAUAUAGCACUAUUCAUCUCUUCUGGAAAGUCAUUCCAUCUUCAAACUCUGAGUGCUUUGGGCACCUUCUUCUCACUAAAAAUGGUGGCAAUAUCGAGUCACCAAAACUGGCCCUGAUCUCUUGCUCUUCCUUUUCCAUGAAUACCCAGAAAACUAGAAUCAAGACAAGAAACUUGGAAUGUGAAAACAACUAAGGUUGUUAAGACUUUCAUGAGAGCUGAAUAGCUUUUCAGUUUGAGUAUGAUCUAACAGAUGGUGUGGAGACCUUGAUGAGAGCUUCAGAUGCAAGGAUUUCAUCAAGGAUGCAGUUCUGGAAGACAUUGUCCUACUCCACCUUCAGUUACGUGGAUCCCUUAUAUUUUAAUUAUGGAAUGUACAUAGGGGAGAGGAAAGGCAAAGAAACUCUUUCUCUAACUUUGAAGAAAUUCUCAGAAGAGAAACACAUAGAAGACACCAGGGCAGGCUUAGGCGAAGUGAGAGAUGGUGGCUCAGAAAUGAGUACAUACCAGCUUCCCAGUCUCUGUUGCAUACCAUUAGGAAUGGAAAAUUCACUCCCUCUAGUGAAUUAUGUAGCCAACUAAAUGUGAACAUUCUUCACACCUGUCCCUGUUUCUAAGGCUAUGGGACUUGGCAUAAAUGAGAAAUAAAAUAUAAUUUCCAAGUUGCA
rnacentral:lncRNA from 12 species